rnacentral:rRNA from 1 species
CACGUAGGGGGCGAGCGUUGUCCGGAAUCAUUGGGCGUAAAGCGCGUGUAGGCGGCCCGGUAAGUCCGCUGUGAAAGUCCAGGGCUCAACCCUGGGAUGCCGGUGGAUACUGUCGGGCUCGAGUCCGGAAGAGGCGAGUGGAAUUCCUGGUGUAGCGGUGAAAUGCGCAGAUAUCAGGAGGAACACCGAUGGCGAAGGCAGCUCGCUGGGACGUGACUGACGCUGAGACGCGAAAGCGUGGGGAGCAAACAGG